CCUACGGGUGGCUGCAGUGGGGGAUAUUGCACAAUGGGGGGAACCCUGAUGCAGCGACGCCGCGUGGGUGAAGAAGCGCCUCGGCGCGUAAAGCCCUGUUAGCAGGGAAGAAAAUGACGGUACCUGAAGAAGAAGCACCGGCUAACUACGUGCCAGCAGCCGCGGUAAUACGUAGGGGGCAAGCGUUACCCGGAUUUACUGGGUGUAAAGGGGGCGCAGACGGGGUUGCAAGCCAGGAGUGAAAGCCUGGGGCCUAACCCCAGGACUGCUUUUGAAACUGCGUGGCUGGAGUGCAGGAGGGGCAGGCGGAAUUCCUGGUGUAGGGGUGAAAUGCGUAGAUAUCAGGAGGAACACCGGUGGCGAAGGCGGCCUGCUAGACUACAACUGACGUUGAGGCCCGAAAGCGUGGGGAGCAAACAGGAUUAGAUACCCCUGUAGUC
rnacentral:rRNA from 1 species